rnacentral:hammerhead_ribozyme from 1 species
AUCCAGAUGACGAGUUUCAAAUAGGACGAAAUGCGCAUCCUGGAU